GUGGGGAAUAUUGGACAAUGGGGGGAACCCUGAUCCAGCCAUGCCGCGUGUGUGAAGAAGGCCUUUUGGUUGUAAAGCACUUUAAGCGAGGAGGAGGCUACUCUAGUUAAUACCUAGGGAUAGUGGACGUUACUCGCAGAAUAAGCACCGGCUAACUCUGUGCCAGCAGCCGCGGUAAUACAGAGGGUGCAAGCGUUAAUCGGAUUUACUGGGCGUAAAGCGCGCGUAGGUGGCCAAUUAAGUCAAAUGUGAAAUCCCCGAGCUUAACUUGGGAAUUGCAUUCGAUACUGGUUGGCUAGAGUAUGGGAGAGGAUGGUAGAAUUCCAGGUGUAGCGGUGAAAUGCGUAGAGAUCUGGAGGAAUACCGAUGGCGAAGGCAGCCAUCUGGCCUAAUACUGACACUGAGGUGCGAAAGCAUGGGGAGCAAACAGGAUUAGAUACCCGUGUAGUCC
rnacentral:rRNA from 1 species